rnacentral:rRNA from 1 species
UAACGAAGAGGUAUCGUAAUUGAAGAGGUUUGGAAAGACCCACCACAGAAGGUAAUAGUCCUGUAUGUUAAACGAGAAGACUUUAGAUAUGAUCCAGAGUACCACGGGACACGUGAAACCCUGUGGGAAGCAGGAGGGACCACCCUCCAAGGCUAAAUACUACCUAGUGACCGAUAGCGUAUAGUACCGUGAGGGAAAGGUGAAAAGAACCCCGGGAGGGGAGUGAAAUAGAACCUGAAACCCUGCACUUACAAGCUGUGGAAGCACAUUUCUUGUGUGACCGCGUACUUUUUGUAGAACGGGCCAACGAGUUACGUUAAGUAGCAAGGUUAAGCACUUAAGGUGCGGAGCCGUAGCGAAAGCGAGUUUUAACUGAGCGUUCAGUUACUUGACGUAGACCCGAAACCGGGCGACCUACCCAUGAGCAGGAUGAAGCGAAAGUAAAAUUUCGUGGAGGUCCGAACCCACGAGCGUUGAAAAGCUCGGGGAUGACUUGUGGGUAGCGGUGAAAUUCCAAUCGAGCCCGGAGAUAGCUGGUUCUCCCCGAAAUAGCUUUAGGGCUAGCCUCAAGGUGAGAGAUACGGAGGUAGAGCACUGAAUGUCCUAGGGGGUAUUGCACCUACCGAAGACUAUCAAACUCCGAAUGCCGUCAUCUUAUACUUGGGAGUCAGACUGUGGGUGAUAAGAUUCAUAGUCGAAAGGGCAACAGCCCAGAUCGUCAGCUAAGGUCCCUAAAUGUAAGUUAAGUGGUAAAGGAUGUGGGAUUGCACAGACAACCAGGAUGUUGGCUUAGAAGCAGCCACUCAUUCAAAGAGUGCGUAAUAGCUCACUGGUCGAGUGAUCCUGCGCCGAAGAUUUCCGGGGCUAAAACUUACUACCGAAGCUACGGCAUCAGUAAUGAUGGGUAGGGGAGCUUCCCAUACGGGUUGAAGCAUGACCGUAAGGACAUGUGGACAGUAUGGGAGUGAGAAUGUUGGCAUGAGUAGCGAGAUGUGGGUGAGAAUCCCACAGGCCGUAAACCCAAGG